rnacentral:rRNA from 1 species
AGAGUUUGAUCCUGGCUCAGGACGAACGCUGGCGGCGCGCUUAACACAUGCAAGUCGAGCGAUGAAAUCUUGACAGAUCCCUUCGGGGUGAAGAUAAGAUGGAUUAGCGGCGGACGGGUGAGUAACACGUGAGUAACCUGCCUUAGACAUUGGGAUAGCCUCGGGAAACCGGGAUUAAUACCAAAUGAAAUCAUAGGUGCCCAUGCACUAAUGAUCAAAACUCCGGUGGUCUAAGAUGGACUCGCGUCCCAUUAGCUAGUUGGUGAGGUAACGGCCCACCAAGGCGACGAUGGGUAGCCGGCCUGAGAGGGUGAACGGCCACAUUGGAACUGAGAAACGGUCCAAACUCCUACGGGAGGCAGCAGUGGGGAAUAUUGCACAAUGGAGGGAACUCUGAUGCAGCGACGCCGCGUGAACGAUGAAGGCUUUCGAGUCGUAAAGUUCUUUUAUAUGGGAAGAUAAUGACGGUACCAUAAGAAAAAGCCCCGGCUAACUACGUGCCAGCAGCCGCGGUAAUACGUAGGGGGCUAGCGUUGUCCGGAAUCACUGGGCGUAAAGGGUUCGCAGGCGGAAAUGCAAGUCAGAUGUAAAAGGCAGUAGCUUAACUACUGUAAGCAUUUGAAACUGCAUAUCUUGAGAAGAGUAGAGGUAAGUGGAAUUUUUAGUGUAGCGGUGAAAUGCGUAGAUAUUAAAAAGAAUACCGGUGGCGAAGGCGACUUACUGGGCUCAUUCUGACGCUGAGGAACGAAAGCGUGGGUAGCAAACAGGAUUAGAUACCCUGGUAGUCCACGCUGUAAACGAUGAGUGCUAGGUAUCGGAAUAAUUCGGUGCCGCAGUUAACACAUUAAGCACUCCGCCUGGGGAGUACGUGCGCAAGCAUGAAACUCAAAGGAAUUGACGGGGACCCGCACAAGCAGCGGAGCAUGUGGUUUAAUUCGA